rnacentral:rRNA from 1 species
GAUGAACGCUGGCGGCGUGCCUAAUACAUGCAAGUCGAGCGAACAGACGAGGAGCUUGCUCCUCUGACGUUAGCGGCGGACGGGUGAGUAACACGUGGAUAACCUACCUAUAAGACUGGGAUAAUUUCGGGAAACCGGAGCUAAUACCGGAUAAUAUAUUGAACUUCAUUGUUCACUAGUGAAAGACGCUUUUGCUGUCACUUAUAGAUGGACCCGCACCGCAUUAGCUAGUUGGUAAGGUAACGGCUUACCAACGCAACGAUGGUUAGCCGACCUAAGAGGGUGGUCGCCCAGACGGGAACAGAGGAAGAGUACAGACUCCGACAGUGGGAAGCAGUAGGGAAUCUUCCGCGAGGGACGAGUGGGUAACAGAGGAACGCCGCGUAAGGGAUGAUGGAGUUCGGAUGGUAGAGCUCUGAAAUUAUGAGGGAUGUAAUGUGUAAGUAACUAGGCAGGUCUUGACAGUACCGGAUCAGAAAGCCACGGCUAACUACGUG